CGGCCUCCCAGAGUGCUGGGAUUAUAGGCGUGAGCCACCACGCCCGGCCUGUUUCCUUUGGUUUAAAGUGGAUUCGAAUCAGUGUUAAAUCAGAAAAUCAGGGUUUUCUAGGAAAUUGGGAAUUAGUUGCCAGAAAGGAAACUGAACUAUGCAGAAGGAGUUAAGAGCUGGGAUGAGGCUGGAUGGGGUGACUGACAGUGUCCAGAUCAUUGAAACAGAUUGGGUCGUCGGAAACUGGUCCAGAUGAGGCUGGAUGGGGUGACUGACAGUCUGGAUCAUUGAAACUGAUUAGGUCUUCAGAAAUGGGUCCAGAUGAGGAUGAGGCUGAGGCUGGAUGGGGUGACUGACAGUCUGGAUCAUUGAAACUGAUUGGGUGGUUGGUCAGAAACGGGUCCAGAUGAGGAUGAGGCUGGAUGGGGUGACUGACAGUUUGGAUCAUUGAAACUGAUUGGGUGGUCAGAAACGGGUCCAGAUGAGGAUGAGGCUGGAUGGGGUGACUGACAGUCUGGAUCAUUGAAACUGGUCCACUAUGACGCAGCAGGGGCAGUUUGGCAGAGCAUCCUCUUCCCUUGUCCUUGUGAAAGAACACAGGAAACAUUUGGGUUUUACAGCUUUUCACACCCUACUAUCAGGCAUCAGAAUCAAAAUUAGUUACUAAAUUGGGUGAAUUUUUGGAAACCUGCAUUUCUAUUCAUCUGCUAUUCCAGAAAAAAAUGGGAAUGUAUUACAGGAGAGUUACCUCACAGUGUCUUAUGUUGUGGAACCUGAAGCAUAACCACGUGUUUUCUUAUAUGAUCAUUUGUGUUGAUACUGCUUUUAUUUGAGUUUAUGAACAGAAAUAGAAAGUAUGGUGCUUGGGUUUUGCCCUUUCUUACUCCUGAAAGUUAAAUCAGAAGACACUGAUUUCAUUUUGUGAAAUUUAGCUCAGAG
rnacentral:lncRNA from 1 species